CAAAUGUUUGGAACAGUUGGACUUAUCUGGGAACUCUCUUGAAGAGAUGCCCCAGGGUAUGUGUCUGCCCUCCUUGCUCAAACUGGACCUAAGCAACAAUGACCUGGAGGAUGUCACCACACUUGAAUCGUUGGAGGAGCUGAAAGUUGAGGAUAACCUAUACCUUACAGUCAAUGACAACUACAAGCUGAUGGUGCUCCUGCCUAAAAUGAGGGUUUAUAAUGGGAAGGACAUUAGCACCACAGCCAACCAAGGUUUUCGCCGGGGAAAACCUUAGGACCAGGGUGCUGGCCGUGUGGGAGAGUGAUGUCAUCCCUUCUAGGUGGCGGCCAUAUGAGAUUGUCCAUCAAGUCCACUCCGGCCCAAAGACCAGUUUAGACUACACAUUUUGUCAAGUUUACAUUGUAACAAUAUUUGAAGGAGUUUUUCUGUGUAUAUUUUGUGCGUGACCAUAUUUCUAUUCUUUCCUUUAUCAGACUCCCAAAAGAAAACACUGGAAGUACAUCUCCAUUACAGCAAGCCCACGUGAUGCAGUGCAGUAAUAAUCAUCAAGUAGUAACCAUCAAAAAGCAAUACCAAAUGAAACACAAAAUGAUAACUUUAUUGAGAAUAACAUUAAGUCAAGCAUCUGUGAUAUGAAAAAAAAAGUCUGAGGAAAGGGUGGUGUGCAACUGCUGACAUCAUAAGUGUGUAUGUCU